rnacentral:rRNA from 1 species
UACGAAGGGUGCAAGCGUUACUCGGAAUCACUGGGCGUAAAGCGUGCGUAGGCGGUUUCUUAAGUCUGUCGUGAAAGCCCUGGGCUCAACCUGGGAAUGGCGAUGGAUACUGGGAGGCUAGAGUGUGAUAGAGGAUGGUGGAAUUCCCGGUGUAGCGGUGAAAUGCGUAGAGAUCGGGAGGAACACCAGUGGCGAAGGCGGCCACCUGGAUCAACACUGACGCUGAGGCACGAAGAACGGGUGGGUCAACAA